GCCGGUGUGGCGGAAUGGCAGACGCAGUCGACUCAAAAUCGACCGGAGAAAUCCGUGGGGGUUCGACUCCCUUCACCGGCACCA
rnacentral:tRNA from 1 species